UGGACAUAAGUUUUCUCUAUGACCUAUUCUGCCAUAAGAAUAACAUUUCUCUGCCCUUCAUAUUCAACUGUUUGUUCAAAGUCAUUAAUGAUGAACUUAGAAACCAGUGGAACUCCACCCAAAUGGCUAAUCUAGGAAACUUCUCAUUUAAAGCAUCCUCUGUCUAAUAGUCUAUCUUAACCACUUUAUGAAUAACGUCUCCAAUCACUCUAAGCAGCUUCCUGUGAUACAAGUGUAAGGGAAGGCUUGGGAGUCUUGCCCAUACUACAAUUUUUUGAAAGGAAAAAUUGUCCACUCUAAACUUCAGUGCCCAGGGCUGAACUAUCAAAUAACUCCCUAGCAUGGUCAAAGGUCCCUCAAGCAAGGCACGAUAGUAAUCUGUUUCCUGAUCAAAUUUGACAAGGAAGAGGUCAUUCCCCAUAUCUAGAAGUUUCAUUCCAUUAGGUUUCUAAAGAUUAGAAGUUCUCAAUUACAUUGCCUUGUAUCCAAUUUUCUGGCCCCAUAGUUUUAUCACUACUGAAAGUCUCCACUUCCUAGAGAGAUGAUCUUAAAAGUCCUUUGAAUUCUGAUAAUCAGAAUAGAACCCGAUAUGUUGAUUACAAACUUCUCAGUUGGGCAUUCAUCACAAGAGGAGUCUAAAUUUGUUCAUCCAUAUCCAUGUCCGCGCGUUGUACUAUCUUAUCUCGAAAAGAAAUCGACGCAACCUAGGGAGGAUUGAGAAAGGGAGUAUUAGCCUCCAUGUGCUUAACUUUCUUUGUAAUUUGGUUAUCCUUCGCCCUAGGUGUUGGUUCAUCGAGAGUAAGAGAGAGCAUGAGAGAAAAUUUCAUUGCCUAGUAUUUGUUACUUAAUAAUAUUAUUAUUAUAAUAUCAAGAAUAAGAAAACCAUUAAGACAUUUACUUAAUAUCUUUGUUGAACAUUUGGUACAAAGGCUUAUUUUCGGUUUAAUUUCAUUUGAAGUGCCCUAAUUUACAGGGUAUUCAUUU
rnacentral:lncRNA from 1 species